rnacentral:rRNA from 1 species
GAUGAACGCUGGCGGCGUGCCUAAUACAUGCCAGUCGAGCGAACAGACGAGGAGCUUGCUCCUCUGACGUUAGCGGCGGACGGGUGAGUAACACGUGGAUAACCUACCUAUAAGACUGGGAUAACUUCGGGAAACCGGAGCUAAUACCGGAUAAUAUAUUGAACCGCAUGGUUCAAUAGUGAAAGACGGUUUUGCUGUCACUUAUAGAUGGAUCCGCGCCGCAUUAGCUAGUUGGUAAGGUAACGGCUUACCAAGGCAACGAUGCGUAGCCGACCUGAGAGGGUGAUCGGCCACACUGGAACUGAGACACGGUCCAGACUCCUACGGGAGGCAGCAGUAGGGAAUCUUCCGCAAUGGGCGAAAGCUUGACGGAGCAACGCCGCGUGAGUGAUGAAGGUCUUCGGAUCGUAAAACUCUGUUAUUAGGGAAGAACAAAUGUGUAAGUAACUAUGCACGUCUUGACGGAACCUAAUCAGAAAGCCACGGCUAACUACGUG